rnacentral:rRNA from 1 species
CCUUCCCUCCCCCUUCAUGCCUAACCUGUGUCAGUCCAACGAAACCUUCCCGUCUCGUGGCGCACGGGUGCGUUAAGAGUGGCCACCUACACUAAGGUUCGCACUAACUCCUCGAGACGAGCGCUCAUGCCAAAAAAUGUCAUCGGCCCAAGGAUUAAUUGCCGUCGGAUCGGCGCGCGUGGGAUUAGCUAGUUGGUAGGGUAAAAGCCUACCAAGGCGACGAUCCAUAGCUGGUCUGAGAGGAGGAUCAGCCACACUGGGACUGAGACACGGCCCAGACGACUACGGGAGGCAGCAGUGUGGAAUAUUGGACCAGGAGCGAAAGACUGAAAAAGCAGUGCCGGGUGAGUGAUGAAGGCCUUAGGGUUGUAAAGAUCUUUUAGCCGUGGUGAGAGUGACAGUACCGGGAGAAUAAGCCCCGGCUAACUCCAUG